GACGAACGCUGGCGGCGUGCUUAACACAUGCAAGUCGAGCGGUAAGGCCCUUUCGGGGGUACACGAGCGGCGAACGGGUGAGUAACACGUGGGUGACCUGCCCUCAGCUCUGGGAUAAGCCUGGGAAACUGGGUCUAAUACCGGACAUGACUCCAUGACGCAUGUUGUGGGGUGGAAAGCCUUGUGCGGCUGAGGAUGGGCCCGCGGCCUAUCAGCUUGUUGGUGGGGUGANGGCCUACCAAGGCGACGACGGGUAGCCGGCCUGAGAGGGCGACCGGCCACACUGGGACUGAGACACGGCCCAGACUCCUACGGGAGGCAGCAGUGGGGAAUCUUGCGCAAUGGGCGAAAGCCUGACGCAGCGACGCCGCGUGAGGGAUGACGGCCU
rnacentral:rRNA from 1 species